rnacentral:rRNA from 1 species
GACAGAGUUUGAUCAUGGCUCAGAGCGAACGCUGGCGGCAGGCUUAACACAUGCAAGUCGAGCGGGCGUAGCAAUACGUCAGCGGCAGACGGGUGAGUAACGCGUGGGAACGUACCUUUUGGUUCGGAACAACACAGGGAAACUUGUGCUAAUACCGAAUAAGCCCUUACGGGGAAAGAUUUAUCGCCGAAAGAUCGGCCCGCGUCUGAUUAGCUAGUUGGUGAGGUAACGGCUCACCAAGGCGACGAUCAGUAGCUGGUCUGAGAGGAUGAUCAGCCACAUUGGGACUGAGACACGGCCCAAACUCCUACGGGAGGCAGCAGUGGGGAAUAUUGGACAAUGGGCGCAAGCCUGAUCCAGCCAUGCCGCGUGAGUGAUGAAGGCCCUAGGGUUGUAAAGCUCUUUUGUGCGGGAAGAUAAUGACGGUACCGCAAGAAUAAGCCCCGGCUAACUUCGUGCCAGCAGCCGCGGUAAUAACCUAAAUAGC